GAUGAACGCUGGCGGCGUGCCUAAUACAUGCAAGUCGAGCGAACGGACGAGAAGCUUGCUUUUCUGAUGUUAGCGGCGGACGGGUGAGUAACACGUGGAUAGCCUACCUAUAAGACUGGGAUAACUUCGGGAAACCGGAGCUAAUACCGGAUAAUAUUUUGAACCGCAUGGUUCAAAAGUGAAAGACGGUCUUGCUGUCACUUAUAGAUGGAUCCGCGCUGCAUUAGCUAGUUGGUAAGGUAACGGCUUACCAAGGCAACGAUGCAUAGCCGACCUGAGAGGGUGAUCGGCCACACUGGAACUGAGACACGGUCCAGACUCCUACGGGAGGCAGCAGUAGGGAAUCUUCCGCAAUGGGCGAAAGCCUGACGGAGCAACGCCGCGUGAGUGAUGAAGGUCUUCGGAUCGUAAAACUCUGUUAUUAGGGAAGAACAUAUGUGUAAGUAACUGUGCACAUCUUGACGGUUCCUAAUCAGAAAGCCACGGCUAACUACGUG
rnacentral:rRNA from 1 species